GAUGAACGCUAGCUACAGGCUUAACACAUGCAAGUCGAGGGGUAGCAGGGUAGCAAUACCGCUGACGACCGGCGCACGGGUGAGUAACACGUAUCCAACCUUCCCAUAACUCGGGGAUAGCCUUUCGAAAGAAAGAUUAAUACCCGAUAGUACUUAAGAAAGGCAUCUUUUUUAAGUUAAAGAUUUAUUGGUUAUGGAUGGGGAUGCGUUCCAUUAGAUAGUUGGUGAGGUAACGGCUCACCAAGUCUUCGAUGGAUAGGGGUUCUGAGAGGAAGGUCCCCCACAUUGGUACUGAGACACGGACCAAACUCCUACGGGAGGCAGCAGUGAGGAAUAUUGGUCAAUGGGCGAGAGCCUGAACCAGCCAAGUAGCGUGAAGGAUGAAGGUCCUAUGGAUUGUAAACUUCUUUUAUAGUAGAAUAAAGUGAUCCACGUGUGGAUUUUGUAUGUAUACUAUGAAUAAGGAUCGGCUAACUCGUGCCAGCAGCCGCGGUAAUCUCGUCCUCUA
rnacentral:rRNA from 1 species